rnacentral:rRNA from 1 species
UGCCCAGAUGGGAUUAGCUAGUAGGUGGGGUAACGGCUCACCUAGGCGACGAUCCCUAGCUGGUCUGAGAGGAUGACCAGCCACACUGGAACUGAGACACGGUCCAGACUCCUACGGGAGGCAGCAGUGGGGAAUAUUGCACAAUGGGCGCAAGCCUGAUGCAGCCAUGCCGCGUGUGUGAAGAAGGCCUUCGGGUUGUAAAGCA